rnacentral:lncRNA from 1 species
GCAUGUCCCUCUCGGCUGGGAAGGGAAGGGAGGCUCUCGGGGGUUUAAAGAGAAGGAAAACAGAGGGGUCUGUCAUCCCUCAUACGAAAAAAAACAGAGAGGCCCUCUGCCAUUCAAAAGGAAAGUAAGGGAGAAAGGGAAACAGGGGAUGCCCUGUUUCCGAAAAUAAAAAGAAAAAAAAAGAAAUAAGAGGAAGAGGGGAGUUCUUUUAUGUUUAUGGCUGGCUAAUCCCUUAGGUGAAGG